rnacentral:rRNA from 1 species
AUUGAACGCUGGCGGCAUGCCUUACACAUGCAAGUCGAACGGUAACAGGUCUUCGGAUGCUGACGAGUGGCGAACGGGUGAGUAAUACAUCGGAACGUACCUAGUAGUGGGGGAUAACUACUCGAAAGAGUGGCUAAUACCGCAUGAGAUCUACGGAUGAAAGCAGGGGAUCGCAAGACCUUGUGCUACUAGAGCGGCCGAUGGCAGAUUAGGUAGUUGGUGGGAUAAAAGCUUACCAAGCCGACGAUCUGUAGCUGGCCUGAGAGGACGAUCAGCCACACUGGGACUGAGACACGGCCCAGACUCCUACGGGAGGCAGCAGUGGGGAAUUUUGGACAAUGGGCGAAAGCCUGAUCCAGCAAUGCCGCGUGCAGGAUGAAGGCCUUCGGGUUGUAAACUGCUUUUGUACGGAACGAAAAGCCCCGGGUUAAUACCCUGGGGUCAUGACGGUACCGUAAGAAUAAGCACCGGCUAACUACGUGCCAGCCGCCGCAGUAA